UCGUCGGUAGUGCAACGGUUAGCAUACGCUCCCGGAUAGGGUGAAAUGUGGGUUCGAAUCCCAACUGACGCA